rnacentral:misc_RNA from 1 species
AAGUCGUAACAAGGUAACCGUAGGUGAACCUGCGGUUGGAUCAUUAUUGAGGAAUGGGCGGAGGGCGAACCCCUCCGCCUAACCCUCUCCUGCGUAGUGGUUCUCGUCGGGCGCGUGGAAUGCAGCAGUGCUUGUACUAGCACUGUUUUUUCUCCGCGCGUCCGUCGCGGGCCGGUAGGCAGGUUUGGGCUACCUAUUGUGCACUGUCUUUUGUCUCUGGCGGCGGGAUGUGAAGAGUGGGUGCUUGUUCACCCCUGGGGAGCAUCUGUCAGCCUUGAAUUCUGUUCAGGGCCGUGGACAAACCGCCAAAGGUUUUUGCGAUACUUUUGUCUUUUUUCUAUCAUGUCUGAAAUGUGUGACGCAGCCGCGUCUAUGAAUGUACAAACAACUUUUGGCAACGGAUCUCUUGGCUCUC